rnacentral:rRNA from 1 species
GCUGACGAGUGGCGGACGGGUGAGUAAUGUCUGGGAAACUGCCUGAUGGAGGGGGAUAACUACUGGAAACGGUAGCUAAUACCGCAUAAUGUCGCAAGACCAAAGAGGGGGACCUUCGGGCCUCUUGCCAUCGGAUGUGCCCAGAUGGGAUUAGCUUGUUGGUGGGGUAACGGCUCACCAAGGCGACGAUCCCUAGCUGGUCUGAGAGGAUGACCAGCCACACUGGAACUGAGACACGGUCCAGACUCCUACGGGAGGCAGCAGUGGGGAAUAUUGCACAAUGGGCGCAAGCCUGAUGCAGCCAUGCCGCGUGUAUGAAGAAGGCCUUCGGGUUGUAAAGUACUUUCAGCGGGGAGGAAGGGAGUAAAGUUAAUACCUUUGCUCAUUGACGUUACCCGCAGAAGAAGCACCGGCUAACUCCGUGCCAGCAGCCGCGGUAAUACGGAGGGUGCAAGCGUUAAUCGGAAUUACUGGGCGUAAAGCGCACGCAGGCGGUUUGUUAAGUCAGAUGUGAAAUCCCCGGGCUCAACCUGGGAACUGCAUCUGAUACUGGCAAGCUUGAGUCUCGUAGAGGGGGGUAGAAUUCCAGGUGUAGCGGUGAAAUGCGUAGAGAUCUGGAGGAAUACCGGUGGCGAAGGCGGCCCCCUGGACGAAGACUGACGCUCAGGUGCGAAAGCGUGGGGAGCAAACAGGAUUAGAUACCCUGGUAGUCCACGCCGUAAACGAUGUCGACUUGGAGGUUGUGCCCUUGAGGCGUGGCUUCCGGAGCUAACGCGUUAAGUCGACCGCCUGGGGAGUACGGCCGCAAGGUUAAAACUCAAAUGAAUUGACGGGGGCCCGCACAAGCGGUGGAGCAUGUGGUUUAAUUCGAUGCAACGCGAAGAACCUUACCUGGUCUUGACAUCCACAGAACUUUCCAGAGAUGGAUUGGUGCCUUCGGGAACUGUGAGACAGGUGCUGCAUGGCUGUCGUCAGCUCGUGUUGUGAAAUGUUGGGUUAAGUCCCGCAACGAGCGCAACCCUUAUCCUUUGUUGCCAGCGGUCCGGCCGGGAACUCAAAGGAGACUGCCAGUGAUAAACUGGAGGAAGGUGGGGAUGACGUCAAGUCAUCAUGGCCCUUACGACCAGGGCUACACACGUGCUACAAUGGCGCAUACAAAGAGAAGCGACCUCGCGAGAGCAAGCGGACCUCAUAAAGUGCGUCGUAGUCCGGAUUGGAGUCUGCAACUCGACUCCAUGAAGUCGGAAUCGCUAGUAAUCGUGGAUCAGAAUGCCACGGUGAAUACGUUCCCGGGCCUUGUACACACCGCCCGUCACACCAUGGGAGUGGGUUGCAAAAGAAGUAGGUAGCUUAACCUUCGGGAGGGCGCUUACCACUUUGUGAUUCAUGACUGGGGUGAAGUCGUAACAAGGUAACCGUAGGGGAACCUGCGGUUGGAUCACCUCCUUACCUUAAAGAAGC